rnacentral:rRNA from 1 species
CCUACGGGGGGCAGCAGUGGGGAAUAUUGGGCAAUGGGCGCAAGCCUGACCCAGCAACGCCGCGUGAAGGAAGAAGGCUCUCGGGUUGUAAACUUCUUUUAUCAGGGACGAAGCAAGUGACGGUACCUGAUGAAUCAGCCGCGACUAACUAGGUGCCAGCAGCCGCGGUAAGACGGAGGUGCAAGCGUUAUCCGGAUUUACUGGGUGUAAAGGGCGUGUAGGCGGGAAAGCAAGUCAGAUGUGAAAGCCAUGGGCUCAACCUGGGGCCUGCAUUUGAAACUGUUGAUCUUGAGUACUGGAGAGGUAGACGGAAUUCCUAGUGUAGCGGUGAAAUGCGUAGAUAUUAGGAGGAACACCAGUGGCGAAGGCGGUCUGCUGGACAGCAAAUGACGCUGAGGCGCGAAAGCGUGGGGAGCAAACAGGAUUAGAUACCCGAGUAGUC